rnacentral:rRNA from 1 species
GGGAGACUAUGUGUGUCUAUGCAGGACUACUACUGCUACAAAUUCUAGAUGUGUUCCGGGAUAUUCAACCCAAUCCUCUAGGGUAUGCUUCUUUUCCAAUAGUUUGCGGUCGACACAUACAUCAAGAUAGAGAACUCCCAGUUGGACUAUAUAUGGGGCCAUCAAGAUACGAAAAGGGCAGACAUGUACCAGGGCUUGGUGGAUAGCUUACAUGUUGGUGAGGGUAGGGCAGAUGCUAUUGGGAAAGUGUUAUCUACAUCUUUUAUCGAUGGUCCACGGGACAAGAGGCGUUAUUACAUGUAUGACAUGGCCUUAGUUCGAAAGUAUGUCAAGCCGGAUGUCUUCUUCACAAUGACAUGCAACCCAAGCUGA